UGAACGCUGGCGGCAUGCCUUACACAUGCAAGUCGAACGGCAGCGCGGGGCAACCUGGCGGCGAGUGGCGAACGGGUGAGUAAUAUAUCGGAACGUGCCCUGGAGUGGGGGAUAACGCAGCGAAAGUUGCGCUAAUACCGCAUACGAUCUAAGGAUGAAAGCGGGGGAUUCGCAAGAACCUCGUGCUCCUGGAGCGGCCGAUAUCUGAUUAGCUAGUUGGUGGGGUAAAGGCCUACCAAGGCAUCGAUCAGUAGCUGGUCUGAGAGGACGACCAGCCACACUGGAACUGAGACACGGUCCAGACUCCUACGGGAGGCAGCAGUGGGGAAUUUUGGACAAUGGGCGAAAGCCUGAUCCAGCAAUGCCGCGUGAGUGAAGAAGGCCUUCGGGUUGUAAAGCUCUUUUGUCAGGGAAGAAACGGUAUGGGCUAAUAUCCCGUACUAAUGACGGUACCUGAAGAAUAAGCACCGGCUAACUACGUGCCAGCAGCCGAGGUAAUACGUAGGGUGCAAGCGUUAAUCGGAAUUACUGGGCGUAAAGCGUGCGCAGGCGGUUUUGUAAGUUUGUCGUGAAAGCCCCGGGCUCAACCUGGGAAUUGCGAUGAAGACUGCAAGGCUUGAAUCUGGCAGAGGGGGGUAGAAUUCCACGUGUAGCAGUGAAAUGCGUAGAGAUGUGGAGGAACACCGAUGGCGAAGGCAGCCCCCUGGGCCAAGAUUGACGCUCAUGCACGAAAGCGUGGGGAGCA
rnacentral:rRNA from 1 species